GUUCAAACUAGCUCCGUGUCUGGAGGAACAUGCAGCAGCCUCUAAUUGUAAUCUAAUCAGAAUUUAGAACUACUAAAUUCUACCUUCCUUGCCUAGAGUCCUUUAGUAGUACCAAGUGUUAAUGAGUUCUACUAAUAUGUGGAGCGAACCAAGGAUCAAUCACUUAACCUCAUGUAGGGGGAUCUUAGAGAUAUAAUUAUAUAGAGUGCGUACUCAUUACUCAUUAGAAUCAUGAAUACAAUUUAUUGAAGCGUUCAGCUGAUGAACAAUUAAGAAACAAAAGGAUCAAUUCAUUCAGUUAUUAUGUCAACAUUAACCUUUCAGUUAUCAAUAAUAUUUCUUAAAAUCUUAAUAAAUUAAUAAUUAAUGAUAAAAUAACCUUCUAAUUUUUAUAAAAGGGGUUUGGUAUUAGAGUUCAAUGCUUCCUUGCAUUGUAUUUAAUUGUGUCUUCAAUCUUCGUUAUGGUUGAAGAAGGAACAUGGCAAGUUAGCAAUGGUAAAGACAAUAAAUAAAUCUCAGAGUCAAACAUUUGAAGAAAAAAAAAAGCUUUAUAUUUACCAAAAACAAUGUUGCAUUUUCAAGAGUGUCAAAUGAGGAGAAACAACCAAAAAUAUUAAAAGUCUUCAAGAAGCACAAGAUUCGAGGAGACGAAGGAGAAUUAAACAGUUCAUAAUUCAAUUUGGACGUAGCAAAGUUAUUUGUGUCGUGUAACAUCCCUUUAAAUGUUUUAGAUCAUCCCAAAGAAAGUAUUUACUGCUUCGUACGAAAUUCCCCUCCCUCCAUCACCAAUUAUAACAAGAUAUGGAACUUCGGUAAAAGCAGUGGAGUACUACUCCCAUCACUUCAACGUCUUCAGAGAAUAUUUAAACAGCCUUGAUGAAGAUUUGGCAGCAACCAGAAGAGCACAAGAAGUAAUUAAUAAAUGAUUCCUUAAGAGAAGAAGUCGUAUUUAUACAAGAAAAUUUUCGUCAAAUACCUUUGGCAAUAACUGCGCUUGAGGAAAGAUUGCCUCUUCUUACCACCCUAACCAUAGUAGAAAAUCUGACUCAAGAUUUUGAAGGAAGAACCAUUCAAGACCAAGUUAAAAGUAGUGCUUCAAAAGAAUACUGGCUACACAAAACUAAAGGAACUCUCAACAAGUGACAACCUUGUAUACAAAAAUAUUGUCAAUUGUGAUGCUGAGAGAGUCUUUAGUAUGGUGAAUAUCAUCAACACGAAAAGGAGUUCCAAACUAAGUACUAAGAAAUUGAGGGAAUUGUUGAUCACCAAAUGGAAUGCAUUUUUCGUUAUCAUUUAAUUGUCAAUAUAUUUCGUACCAAAGUUAUCUAUUCAUCCUUUGUGGUCUGUGGUGACUAAGAUGUUCUCUAACUAACAAUAUAUUUUGUUUUGCAUAAAUUUACAGAAUAUAAUAUACAUUUAUAAAGUA
rnacentral:lncRNA from 1 species